rnacentral:lncRNA from 1 species
GAAAAAGAAAAGAUAUCCCGUAAGGAAGACUCGUUUUCCCGGGGGUUGAAUUCCCAAGCUGGACAAGAAAACGCGUUGGAUCUACCCCGCCAUCACCCAGGUGGACAGUCGAAAAUGACUGGGACUGCCAUUCCGAGCCCGGGAGAUUCCGAAUGCUAUUACUUCAUCGCUAAUUCCGAAUUCGGAUUUGGACCCACGCCAGUAGGCCACUUGUUCGGACGGGAGAUAGCCGGACUUCCGGUGAUUUUAGACAAUCCACGUACGAAUUUAAAUUACGUUUCGUUAUCGAAGAUGGCGGGGAGACGAGCUUCGACCAAACAAUCGGAAACGACGAAGGAUUUUAUCAGCCAACAUCCGAAAACGACUACCAGAAAAUCGGACGAAACAGUUUGGGUGAAAGACGGUCGGGGCUGACGCGAUGUUUCGAGUGACAUUUUAAAUUCGGCGGUGCACCCAAGG